rnacentral:rRNA from 1 species
AGCACCGCAACGGGAGGAGCGUGCGGUUUAAUUGGAUUCAACACCGGAAAACUCACCAGGGGAGACCAUCACAUGAAGGCCAGGCUGAUGACUUUGCCUGAUUCUUGGAGAAGUGGUGCAUGGCCAUCGUCAGUUCGUACUGUAAAGCGUUCUCUUAAGUGAGAUAACGAACAAGACCCUCACUUGCAAUUGCUACUUCGAUCUCCGGAUCGGAGGCACAUUGCCGGGACCGCUGACGCUAAGUCAGAGGAAGGGGAGGUCAACGGUAGGUCAGUAUGCCCUGAAUCUCCUGGGCUACACGCGCGCUACAAAGGGCGGGACAAUGGGUCCCGACGUCGAAAGGCGGAGGUAAUCUCGAAACCUCCC